CCUGCCCUCACCUCAGCCUGUAACCUGCAGUGGCCUGGUCCCGGGGGCCCAUUGUGGGGAGGUUGGGAAGUUGAAGAACACUCUGGCCUCCUCCAUCAUGUCGGCCAAGAGGGCAGAACUGAAGAAAACAAACCUGGUAAAGGAGAAACAUUGCUGGCCAAUGUGGGGCCUCUUUGAACUCUCACUGGAUGGAGUUGGGGGGUACAGAGAGUCCCCAACGAACCCUCGGCUUUUCUUUCUACCUCUGAGCAUGACGUGGCCUCUCAGGCUGGAAGGAGGGUGGGGAAUGGACCCCUGGGCUUGGGGUGGGAAGGACCCCCGCCAGGAAAAGGAACACCGAAAUGCCCCACCCCUAUCCCGGCCACUCCGGAGCCAUGACCCCAGCCAGGCCCGCAUCUUACCCGCGUGUUUAAGGCACACAGGAACCUCAUCAGAUAAAGGUAAUUAUCAUCCACAAUUUACAGACGAGGAAGUGAAGGCUCAGAGAAGCUAAAUAACGUGCCUAAGUCAACACAGCUGGUAAGGAGGGCAGCUGACACUAGAAUUCAAGUCUGUCUGUCUACCUCCAAAGUCAAUGCUCCUGAAAAAAUACUUAGACGGCUUCCUUGAGUUAUCUUAAAGUGUCCCCGCCAGCCCUCACCCCCGCCAGCUCCCCAGGGAGAGGGCUGCCUGCCGAACAGGCAGGUGUCACUCAUGAGAGGAGUAGAACAUGAGAAAAUGUGAGUUAUCUUGGCCCAGGCGCUGGGGGUAGGUGGGCCUGAGCCUAAGCACAGUUGGACAGGCAGGGUUGGGUGGGUGGAGGGUCCUCCCCAGUCCUGAUGCCUGGCAGCCUGAAUCCCAGCCUCCUGUCUCUGCAGAACAAGAACUACAAGGCAGUUUGCCUGGAAUUGAAGCCAGAGCUGAUCAGAGUAAGAAGCUUGUUUGAGGCCAUACCGGCAGCCAGGCCUGAGACGCAUGGGGAGACAUAUGACUACAAAGGAGCUAAACAAGAAGGGCCAUUUACCAAACCAGGAGGGACAAAGGAGCUAAAGAAUGAACUCAGGGAGGUGAGGGAAGAGCUCAAGGAAAAAAUGAAGGAGAUAAAACAGAUAAAAGAUGUAAUGGACCAGGAAUUUGAAAAACUCCAGGAAUUUGUGGAGAUUAUAAAGGAAAUGCAAAAGGAUGUGGAUGAGGAGAUGGAUGUUUUAAUAAAUAUACAGAAGAAUAGCAAGCGGAGAGGACCAAAGGAGCAGCAAGAACUCAGGCUGAUAGGAAAGAUGGACACAGACCCACAGAUCCGGCGGAAGAAAAUGGAUGGAGCUGAUGGAGUACCACUUGCCCUUCACAAAAAGAUGACGGCACUACAACAACCAAAAAAAGAUCCAAUGGAUUCCCUUCACCAAUGUGAUACCUGCUGUCAAGACCUGAUGAGGUGCCCAGCAGCCUGGCCAUCUUAGACCAGGGAAAAAUGAUCUUUCUGGUGCCGCUUCUGUCCUCCAUAGGAGAAAUGUUUUUUGUGUGCCCCCAAAGAACAACUACAAUCAGCGAUGCUAUUCCUGUCCCGCGUACAGAGCCUCUUGGGGGGCAUUGGCCUGACCUGGGCCACCAUUUCUGCUUUGUGCGGCAGCAUCCAAUUGAUCCAAGCAAGGUGGACAGGCAACUCAACUUGCCCAAUCGAUUUCUUUCCCUGGGAAUUUGAAAUUGGAAUUUGGUGAGACUCAGCUGGCCCCCAGAACUGGACUUAUAAUUGGGAGCUGAAGAGGCCUCUGCCACCAUUGGCCAAAGAUGCAGAUCUACAGAAAAAAUAAAUAAAUCACUUUGCAGAGAGAGAAGAAUGAAACAGAGGGACUGAGAGAAGUGGAGAUUGGUGCAGUUCCGCAGAGGGAGCUGGGAGAGCCACUGUCUGGCUCAGGCCCUGCUGGGCUGGUGCUGGCCCCUGCCUUGGCUUCAUGAAAGCCUCUGGACCUUUGGACCGAGGUGCACAUUUCUGUUUAAGCAGAGUGGCUUUCUGUUACCACCUAACAAGCCUGAGCUGAGGCCCCACGGUUAGAAGGAAUGUCAGAGAUUGGUCAAAUCUCUUCAAUUUACAGUGAGGAUUCUGAGGCCCAGAGAGGUGCAGUGAGGUACCCUCAGGCACACAGCCCAUUUAUAGCAAAGCCAGGACCAGAACCCAGGUUUUCUGACUCCUGGGCCAGUGCUCUGUGGCUCUCUAGGGCUAGCUGUAUUUCCAAGGGCAAUAAGAUGAGAUAGAAGGCAGUCAGCUGGAUCUGGACAUGAAUCAGUGGCGUGGUCGCAGGAAGAGAAAGGUGGCCCAGGAAGGACCCUUACGAACAAAGUCAGGUGAGAUCUCCCCAAAUCCUUUCUGAUGGGAAGCACCUUGGACCUUUCUCUUUCCUGGGAGUGGCCAGUGAAGUCAUGCCCUGGCUAUGUGUUCAUCCAGAGGAAGGGGACGAAUUAACACCACUAAAAGGACAAUUUAAAAGGACAAUAGAAAACAAAAUGAAAAUGGCUUUAUGUUUUUACCCAUGAGUGACCCUUAUUCGAUACGUAUUCUCCCACCACUGCUACCAGGGGUCUCUGCACACUCCUCUCUCCUCUGAGGAAUUACAGUGGUCUGGAGUAGAGAAGGAGCCCCUGCAGUCUAUCCCCAACAAGCCAAACUUGUCCUUUUAGAAUGUCACUUAGAUCUCAUUGCUCUUAUGCUCAGAAUUUCCAGUGUUCGCCCAUUUCUCUCAGAGCAAAAUCCAAAGUUGAUACUUGCAAUGCCCUGUGGCGUCAACCCUGCUACCUUCACACUCACAUACUAUUCUCCCCCUUACUUUCUGGGCUCUAGCCACACUGGCUUCUUUGUUCUUCUUCACACGUACCGUGUACACUCUUGCCUCAGGGCCUUUGCACUCACAGACAUUCCUGCCCAUUUCCUCAGCUAUCCGUGUGGCCGUCACCUCCAAGUUACCUUCUCAGUGGCACUUUCCCCAUUUGUACAAACAACAAUAUCCCCACCUCCAGCAUUCCUUAUCCUCUUUACUCUGCUUUAUUUUCCUCUCCAACUCACUUAGCACCGACUUACACACUAUCCAUUUCACUUGUGGUCUGUCUUCUUCUGCUCGGAUGUGAGUUCCUUGAGAGCGGAGAUUGUGUUUCCGUCACUGCUCUACGGCAGGGCCCAGGGCAGUGCCAAGUGCAUAGCAGGGAGUUGACAGGGACUUGCUGAACGGACACAUGAGUAUAAAGAUAUUUGCCAUGUACUGGGCACUGCAGGCUCUGCACUAAGAUCUUCACCUGCACUGUUUCAUUUUAUUCUUACGAUUACCGCAUGAAAUCAUUCUGUCUGUCUUUCUCUGAAGUCAUUUAAAUGGUCAUCCUCCCUAUUUUGUAUAGGUUGAAACAGGCUCAGAGAGAGAAGGUAAUGAAAGUAAUCUGUCUGAGGUCACAGAAUAAGUGGCAGAGCUGGAGUUUGAACCCGAGCAUUCUGAUGUCAGAAUCUCCCCGUGUGUCCCUGGGCCAGCAGCAUUGGCAUUACCUGGGAGCCUGUUAGAAAUGCAGAGUCUCAGGCUAUAUGCCAGGCCUACUGAAUCAGGACCUGCAUUUUAACAAGACUUCUCAGGUGACUCCAGUGUCCAUUGUAGUCUGAGAAGCAGUGCUCUAUGCUGGGCCAGCAGGUGUAUGGAAGAUAGGGGGCUUCAUUGAGCAAGGGGCUGCUGCAGUUUGGGUUAGUGGCCUUGGGUUCUUCACCCCUGUGGAUGGUUCUCCUGCCUGCUACCCCUCGACCCAGGAGCUCUUUAGUAUCUGCUGGGCUUUGGGGGGAACCAAGGUUCGUGAUGAGGAGGGAAAACUCAAUGCCAACUUCUGUCCAGGAGCCAGUCCUCCUGUGGGCACUGUUGCUUCUCUUUCUUGGAGGAAGGUCUCUCAGCUCACUCAGGGAAAACCAGACCUGUGCCUCUUAAAAGCAUGUGAGAGAACCCAUUGGCAUCAGAGAUGCAGCACUAAGACUGAAGCAGAAGCUAGUUCCACCUGACACUUAGGCACUCCGGCCAGGGAGGUUGUUAAAACAGAAACAAAAUGUACUGUCAGGGCUUCCCUGGUGGCGCAGUGGUUGAGCGUCUGCCUGCCGAUACAGGGGACACGGGUUCGUACCCCGAUCCACGAAGAUCCCACAUUCCGCGGAGCGGCUGGGCCCGUGAGCCAUGGCGGCUGGGCCCGUGAGCCAUAGCUGUCGGAACCUGUUCGGCUGGAGCCGGUGCGCCACAACGGGAGAGGCCACAACAGUGAGAGGCCCGCGUACUGCAAAAAAAAUAUAAACCUACUGUCAAUUAAAUUAUUAAUGCCUGGGAGCCCACCCUGACAUCUAUUUUUAUCACUGAGCGCCACCUUCAGUCUUGACAUUCAUGAAGAGUGGGCCUGGAAUAAAACCAGAAACCCACCCUUCCAGCCUCUCCCAAGCCCAUUCAAAACAAGAGUAAACAUAAAUGUAAACCCAAGUAUGUAAAAACCGACUACGAAAACUGACCAGCAGAGGGCACUGUGACCCCAUCAGUCCCUGCCCCACUGACCUCUCCAGAAGGAAAAGCUGCAAAGACACAAGGAAGGAAAUCACACAAGAUUAGGGGUCUGGGUCCCGGGUCCCACCCCGGCUUCAUCUUUGGAAUCUUGUGGGAGCCCAGGACACCUGACACCUCUGAUCUGUGCCCACCGGCAAGCCAGUGGUCACCCACAUAGGGAUCGGUUCCAAAAGGCCACCGCCCAGUCUGGCAUUUGGGAUUCACAAUGAAGUGACUUUCCUUUACUCCCUUAUUUACUUAACCAGCAUUGGUCGAGCACCUGCUGAGCCAGGCACAGGGCUAGACCAUGCAAUUUUCCCAAAAAGUGGUGGCAUAACAAUAGUCAGAUUCUAAGGCUAGCCCCCUAAAGACUUUCAAAUCAGAGAACUAAUGAGAUUACUUUCUGUUCUAGGGUCAGAGGAAAGAAAUAGGGGAAGGGCAGCGUGGAGGAGAGGAAAGAAAGUGUGGGAAGAGCGAGGGGACCCCGGGGAAGAGGAAGGCAGUUUGGCUUCCAACCCCUGCCUGGUGCAUAUAAAAUAUAGAACCUUAAAAAGUUCAUUUUGGCUUCCUC